GCAUUAUAUCAACAGUAAAAAAAGGAGCAAUGUCGCCAUUUGAUGAUUGGCGCCCUGCCCACUGGACAUACCACGACUGCCACUCCAGUUCACUCGGCUGUACAUUGAAUUAGUAUUGGCUUCGGUUGGAGGGAGAGCUUAGACUGUGAUGGACUGGUGUCUCACUCUGUUACUCUUAUCCGUUAACCACUUAUCAUUCCGAGGAAUGACAAUGAUGAUCAGAACUCAUUAGUACCCCCGCAACUAGUAGGAUUCAGAAGUAUUCAUAGUAGAGUUUUUCACCCCAAUCUCAAAUGAUGUGGCUGAUGCAGAACCCGCAUUCCCCAUGGUGAACUGAAACUACUUCAAGUGAAAAGUGCCACAGGAUGACAAAACUUUCUCAUGAUGGAGACGUCACCAAUGCCGGUGAAGGGCUUCAAAAUUUAGGCCUAUGAUUGGCGUUCACAACCUUUGAGCAGGGGGUAUUUAUUCUGUCACACCUGCUGUGACACAGGGCCUCGGGUUUUGUUGUCUUAUCCGAAGGACCGCCCCAUUUAGUCGCCUCUUACGACAAGCAGGGAUACUGAGGACCUAUUCUAAAUCGGAUCACGGUACAA